rnacentral:rRNA from 1 species
AAAUUGAAGAGUUUGAUCAUGGCUCAGAUUGAACGCUGGCGGCAGGCCUAACACAUGCAAGUCGAACGGUAACAGGAAUCAGCUUGCUGAUUCGCUGACGAGUGGCGGACGGGUGAGUAAUGUCUGGGAAACUGCCUGAUGGAGGGGGAUAACUACUGGAAACGGUAGCUAAUACCGCAUAACGUCGCAAGACCAAAGAGGGGGACCUUCGGGCCUCUUGCCAUCGGAUGUGCCCAGAUGGGAUUAGCUAGUAGGUGGGGUAAAGGCUCACCUAGGCGACGAUCCCUAGCUGGUCUGAGAGGAUGACCAGCCACACUGGAACUGAGACACGGUCCAGACUCCUACGGGAGGCAGCAGUGGGGAAUAUUGCACAAUGGGCGCAAGCCUGAUGCAGCCAUGCCGCGUGUAUGAAGAAGGCCUUCGGGUUGUAAAGUACUUUCAGCGGGGGAGGAAGGGAGUAAAGUUAAUACCUUUGCUCAUUGACGUUACCCGCAGAAGAAGCACCGGCUAACUCCGUGCCAGCAGCCGCGGUAAUACGGAGGGUGCAAGCGUUAAUCGGAAUUACUGGGCGUAAAGCGCACGCAGGCGGUUUGUUAAGUCAGAUGUGAAAUCCCCGGGCUCAACCUGGGAACUGCAUCUGAUACUGGCAAGCUUGAGUCUCGUAGAGGGGGGUAGAAUUCCAGGUGUAGCGGUGAAAUGCGUAGAGAUCUGGAGGAAUACCGGUGGCGAAGGCGGCCCCCUGGACGAAGACUGACGCUCAGGUGCGAAAGCGUGGGGAGCAAACAGGAUUAGAUACCCUGGUAGUCCACGCCGUAAACGAUGUCGACUUGGAGGUUGUGCCCUUGAGGCGUGGCUUCCGGAGCUAACGCGUUAAGUCGACCGCCUGGGGAGUACGGCCGCAAGGUUAAAACUCAAAUGAAUUGACGGGGGCCCGCACAAGCGGUGGAGCAUGUGGUUUAAUUCGAUGCAACGCGAAGAACCUUACCUGGUCUUGACAUCCACGGAAGUUUUCAGAGAUGAGAAUGUGCCUUCGGGAACCGUGAGACAGGUGCUGCAUGGCUGUCGUCAGCUCGUGUUGUGAAAUGUUGGGUUAAGUCCCGCAACGAGCGCAACCCUUAUCCUUUGUUGCCAGCGGUCCGGCCGGGAACUCAAAGGAGACUGCCAGUGAUAAACUGGAGGAAGGUGGGGAUGACGUCAAGUCAUCAUGGCCCUUACGACCAGGGCUACACACGUGCUACAAUGGCGCAUACAAAGAGAAGCGACCUCGCGAGAGCAAGCGGACCUCAUAAAGUGCGUCGUAGUCCGGAUUGGAGUCUGCAACUCGACUCCAUGAAGUCGGAAUCGCUAGUAAUCGUGGAUCAGAAUGCCACGGUGAAUACGUUCCCGGGCCUUGUACACACCGCCCGUCACACCAUGGGAGUGGGUUGCAAAAGAAGUAGGUAGCUUAACCUUCGGGAGGGCGCUUACCACUUUGUGAUUCAUGACUGGGGUGAAGUCGUAACAAGGUAACCGUAGGGGAACCUGCGGUUGGAUCACCUCCUUA